UACGAAGGGGGCUAGCGUUGUUCGGAAUUACUGGGCGUAAAGCGCACGUAGGCGGAUCCUUAAGUCAGGGGUGAAAUCCCGGGGCUCAACCCCGGAACUGCCUUUGAUACUGGGUAUCUCGAGUCCGGAAGAGGUGAGUGGAAUUCCGAGUGUAGAGGUGAAAUUCGUAGAUAUUCGGAGGAACACCAGUGGCGAAGGCGGCUCACUGGUCCGGUACUGACGCUGAGGUGCGAAAGCGUGGGGAGCAAACAGG
rnacentral:rRNA from 1 species